rnacentral:rRNA from 1 species
CAGUGAUAAACUGGAGGAAGGUGGGGAUGACGUCAAGUCAUCAUGGCCCUUACGACCAGGGCUACACACGUGCUACAAUGGCGCAUACAAAGAGAAGCGACCUCGCGAGAGCAAGCGGACCUCAUAAAGUGCGUCGUAGUCCGGAUUGGAGUCUGCAACUCGACUCCAUGAAGUCGGAAUCGCUAGUAAUCGUGGAUCAGAAUGCCACGGUGAAUACGUUCCCGGGCCUUGUACACACCGCCCGUCACACCAUGGGAGUGGGUUGCAAAAGA